rnacentral:rRNA from 1 species
AUGCACCAACUCCGUGUCGGCUUGUCGUCUCCCACUCUGUCUGGCACGACAUCUUUCAUUGGUGUCGCCUCACCGUCCAGCCUCCUGACGGUACGAUUGGUCUUAUCGACUGGUGGUCCUACACUCUUUGACUUCCCCGACAAGCCAUCGCAAGGGACUUGGAUCUCUGCUCUCACUGCUUGGGCAAUCUGGGAGCGCCAAAACGCCUGCAUCUUUGAUGGUGUGACCCCCUCUCAUACCCACAUGUUGCACAUUAUACAGGAGGAAGCUCGCACCUGGGCCAAAGCAGGUGCUAGAGGGCUUAGCAGCAUCGUCCCUGUAACCCGAUCCCUCUCGGGGCUAACCAUUCCCUUCUCUUGA